rnacentral:tRNA from 1 species
GCCUGGAUAGCUUAGUCAAUUAAGCGUCUGACUUCAGCUCAGGUCAUGAUGUCACGGUUCGUGAGUUUGAGCCCCACAUCAGGCU